AGGGGAGUGAGUGACUGCGUACCUUUUGUAUAAUGGGUCAGCGACUUAUAUUCUGUAGCAAGGUUAACCGUAUAGGGGAGCCGGAGGGAAACCGAGUCUUAAUUGGGCGUUAAGUUGCAGGGUAUAGACCCGAAACCCGGUGAUCUAGCCAUGGGCAGGUUGAAGGUUGGGUAACACUAACUGGAGGACCGAACCGACUAAUGUUGAAAAA
rnacentral:rRNA from 1 species